ensembl:lncRNA SCN1A-AS1 SCN1A and SCN9A antisense RNA 1
GAGACUGAGUGAUGGUCCCUGCCUAGGAUUUGGAAUCUUUGCAUGAAAUAGGGACUCUAGCCACCAGCGACAAAGAAGUCAGGGAGACUGCGGUCUCUAGGAAGCACUUCCAGGAAACAGGAAUUCAGGCAAAGUUGGACAUUCCAAAGAUGGCGUAGAUGAACAUGACCAGGAAGAGCAGGAGGCCGAUGUUAAACAACGCAGGAAGGGACAUCAUCAAAGCAAAGAGCAGCGUGCGGAUCCCCUUUGCUCCUUUGACUAGACGUAGGAUUCGGCCAAUCCUGGCAAGACGGAUCACUCGGAACAGGGUAGCAGAGAUCUCUGGAGGUGAAACAUUGCUCUGAACUGGCAUUGAUUCUAGCCCAGCUCUUGUAGACCAAUUACCAACUUCUCCAUCUCCCUCCAGUGCCUGGAACUGGACCUGGCACACAGGCAAAGGGUUAUCAACUGUGCUGCACUCUGAGGAGCUUGACCGGUUUAAUCUCUAGAAAGGAAUUCACCACCCCACCAGCACGCGGAACACAAUCAGGAAGGAGUGGAAGAAGUCGUUCAUGUGCCACCGUGGGAGCGUACAGUCAUCAUUGAUCUUGCAGACACAUUCUUUGUAGCUCUUACCAAAGAGCUGCAUGCCGACCACAGCAAAAAUGAAGACGAUGAUGGCCAACACUAAGCCUUUAGACUAAAAAGAAAACAAAUAUUACAUACCCUGAAUCUGUGCUGAAACCACAAAGGAGAGCAUCUUUGGAUCCUUCCAAGUAAUAAAAAUAUUCUGUUGAAGAAGAAUUUGAACAGUUAUAACAUCACAGACUUUAAUCUGUGAUUGUGAUAAAGGAGGUCAAAUUAAAAAAUCUGAUUAUUGGGAGACUUUUGGAGUAAUCAUGGAAGAAAGACUAUGAAAUCAGAUAUUCUUGGAUUUGAAUGUUGCUUCUAUCCCUUCUUAAAGAAGCAGAGCUGGUGGAGAAUUCCCUGGCUGGAUUCAUCAGUCUUUGCUAUGGACAAGAGAAUACACAUAAGAAGAUAUUGAGACUUCCACGUUAAUCAAACUGAAAAGUAAGACAAGGAAUUCCAAAUCAGAGCCUAUUUUAGAACUAUGAGCAUUCAACUGAAAACGGGUCUCCAGAUUUCUGUGCUGCUCCAUUCUGUUGCCACCAACAAUUGAUAAUUGGUAUCAUUUUUGUGCAAGUGAGA